rnacentral:rRNA from 1 species
GACGAACGCUGGCGGCGUGCUUAACACAUGCAAGUCGAACGGUGAAGCUCCAGCUUUCUUGGGUGGAGCAGUUGCGAACGGGAGAGGAACACGUGAGCAACCUACCCCUGCCUCUGGUAUAAGCUCUCGAAACGGCGUCUAAUACUGUAUGCGAGAAUGUUCCGCAUUGGCACUUUCUGUCAAGGUUUUCGGUUGUGUCUGGGCUCGCGGCCUAUCAGCGUUUUCGUGUGGUAGGUGCGCACCAGGGCUACGACGGGUGGCCGGCCUGAGAGGGCGAGCGGCCACACUGAGACUGAGACAGGGGCCAGCAUCGUACGGGAGGGAGCAGUGGGGAAUAUUGCACAAUGGCGGAAACGCUGAUGCAGCGAAGCCGCGUGAGGGAUGAAGGCCUUCGGGUUGUAAACCUCUUUCAGCAGGGAAGAAGCGAAAGUGACGGUACCUGCAGAAGAAGCACCGGCUAACUACGUG